rnacentral:tRNA from 3 species
GGGCCUAUAGCUCAAUUGGCAGAGCACCGGACUUUUAAUCCGUGGGUUCAGGGUUCGAGUCCCUGUGGGCCUACCA